CACAGACACUAGGGGACACUGAGACACUGGGAGACCUGGGGACACUGAGACACAUGGGGACGCUGUGAGACAUAGGGACAUUGGGAGAUACUGAGACAUUGGGACACGGAGACACUAUGUUCCCAUGUCCCUCAGCCAGUGUCCCUAGUGUCUCAGUGUCCCCAAGUCUCCCAGUGUCUGUGUCCCAUGUCUCUCAGUG